AAUGUAUUGUUUAAUUUCUAAAGACUGUGAUGCCAUGAGAAGCAUUAAGAAUGAAGGCUUUCUCGGCGUCAUGUCUUCGGUGCCGACGGUUGUCAGUCCGCCGGUUCUAUCCUCAAGCGCCGGGACACGG
rfam:Myotis lucifugus cont2.12361, whole genome shotgun sequence.